rnacentral:rRNA from 1 species
UUAGUGUUGCAGUUAAUGCAUUAAGCAUUCUGCUUGGGGAGUACGGUUGCAAGAUUGAAACUCAAAGGAAUUGACGGGGGCCCGCACAAGCGGUGGAGCAUGUGGUUUAAUUGGAAGCAACGCGAAGAACCUUACCAGGUCUUGACAUCCCGUUGACCACUGUAGAGAUAUGGUUUCCCCUUCGGGGGCAACGGUGACAGGUGGUGCAUGGUUGUCGUCAGCUCGUGUCGUGAGAUGUUGGGUUAAGUCCCGCAACGAGCGCAACCCUUGAUCUUAGUUGCCAUCAUUUAGUUGGGCACUCUAAGGUGACUGCCGGUGACAAACCGGAGGAAGGUGGGGAUGACGUCAAAUCAUCAUGCCCCUUAUGACCUGGGCUACACACGUGCUACAAUGGACGAUACAAACGGUUGCCAACUCGCGAGAGGGAGCUAAUCCGAUAAAGUCGUUCUCAGUUCGGAUUGUAGGCUGCAACUCGCCUACAUGAAGCCGGAAUCGCUAGUAAUCGCGGAUCAGCAUGCCGCGGUGAAUACGUUCCCGGGCCUUGUACACACCGCCCGUCACACCACGAGAGUUUGUAACACCCGAAGUCGGUGAGGUAACCUUUGGAGCCAGCCGCCGA